AAUAUUGCACAAUGGGGGAAACCCUGAUGCAGCGACGCCGCGUGAGUGAAGAAGUUAUUCGUAAUGUAAAGCUCUGUCAGAAGGGAAGAAAGAAAUGACGGUACCUGACCAAGAAGCCCCGGCUAACUACGUGCCAGCAGCCGCGGUAAUACGUAGGGGGCAAGCGUUAUCCGGAAUCACUGGGUGUAAAGGGAGCGUAGACGGUUGUGCAAGUCUGGAGUGAAAGGCGGGGGCCCAACCCCCGGACUGCUCUGGAAACUGUGUAACUGGAGUGCAGGAGAGGCAGGCGGAAUUCCUGGUGUAGCGGUGAAAUGCGUAGAUAUCAGGAGGAACACCGGUGGCGAAGGCGGCCUGCUGGACUGUAACUGACGUUGAGGCUCGAAAGCGUGGGGAGCAAA
rnacentral:rRNA from 1 species